GGGGAAUAUUGGGGCAAUGGGGGCGGAAAGCCUGACCCAGCAACGCCGCGUGAAGGAAGAAGGUCUUUGGAUUGUAAACUUUUGUCCUAUGGGAAGAAGGAAGUGACGGUACCAUGGGAGGAAGCCCCGGCUAACUACGUGCCAGCAGCCGCGGUAAUACGUAGGGGGCGAGCGUUGUCCGGAAUUACUGGGCGUAAAGGGCGCGCAGGCGGCCGAUCAAGUUAGAUGUGAAAUACCCGGGCUUAACCUGGGAACUGCAUUUAAACUGGUUGGCUAGGAGUGCAGGAGAGGGAAGCGGAAUUCCUAGUGUAGCGGUGAAAUGCGUAGAUAUUAGGAGGAACACCAGUGGCGAAGGCGGCUUUCUGGACUGUAACUGACGCUGAGGCGCGAAAGCGUGGGGAGCGAACAGGAUUAGAUACCCUGGUAGU
rnacentral:rRNA from 1 species